UCUUUCAAAGACAAGGACAUUUCUAAGUGACCCCAAACUUUUGACCGGUGAUAUAGUUCCACAGCUUGAAGAUAACCAUGCAAGGGUAUUUAGCAUUCUCCUGUUUCAUGCCAAUCCCAUGGCAUCGUUCCAGGUCCUUUGGUGCUGUAUCCAUGUGAAGUUCCUCUGAUAUCAGUAGCCGGAAAUGUAGCCGGAAAUGUCCCCUUUUCCCUCGUCUUCGGAUAGUGAUUCCCGCUGGCUCUGAGGUGGGUGGUAAUGAAAGGGAGAGAAGGAGAGGAAAAUAAAAAUGUGAGGAGAAGAAAAUGAGAAGCAGGAAUGUUCAGCAGGUGUACCUACCUUCUCCAAACACACUGGCUUUACCAGCUCUUACCCACUAGGUGGCACCACAUCCACCAUCAAACAGAGAGUUCCGAGGACAGUCUCUGCUUGCAACACGGGUCCUUGUGACUCUGGGAGAGUCAAGGUCAGUCGUCUCCACAGCAACCUGAGGAUAACAGGGACGACCCGCCCUUCUGUAGCCUGUCCUGGUGGAAUGCCACCGCCCCCUCUCUCAGCUGGCUGUCAGUCAAGCGGGGUUCAGCAGGUUUGGCCAAUCAGCACAGCCAAUUCGGAACUCCUCCCACAACAACAGGAUGCACACCUCUUCCCCACAAAUACACACCAUCAAAGCAGUGAAGUAAACACACACACAUGCAUGUACAUAGCUCUGUACACAGGUUAUGUAGCCUACACUAUGCACCUCACACACAAACAAAACUACUGCUAUAACAACACAACAACGGCUUGG